AUAUCACGUGGAAACACGGGUUCCCGUACGAUCACCAAAGUUAAGCAAGUAUGUUCAGUACUUAGAUGGGUGACCUUCUUAGGAAUAUCAGGUGCUGUAAU